GCCAAGCCUCCCAGCAUUGUCUGAAAUCUCCAAAUUUAGAAGAAAUAUGAAAAUUGUCAACCACUCCUUCCUUAGGGGGUAAAAGCAACAUUCAGCACCAGGGGCAGGUCAAGGCGAGGCGGUCACGUGGUGGACGCCCGGGCCAAUGGGGGGCCCCAGAGGACUCAGCACCCGACGCGCCCCAACACUGGGCUCGCCUCUUCAGCUCAUAUAAGGUAAAAGGCAGUGGGGUCUCUGCAUCCAGGGAGCAGUGGGCUUGGGGCUAAGGGGAGGGAAGCCCGGUGCCAGCCAUUUAAAAAUGCCCAUGUGCCACUGAGGGGUGUCAGAGGUCCAGUCAAGUUAGUUGAGAAGCAGUGACACUCCCAACCAUCCCCUAUGGGCUGGCCCCUGUAUCGGGACCACAAGGAGUCACAUCUGGACCGGACUACAGGAGAGGCAAGGGCACUGGCUGCGGGGAGUCAUGCCUGCAGCCCUGAUGCUGGAAGAGCAAGCACCCCAGCGGGGGACCUUGCAGUGAACAGAGGAGGACAGGUCACAGGACCCCGGAAACAGAGCUGUGAGAGCCUCCCUGCCAGUCCCCAUCCAGCGCCCAUACCUGCUCCACACCCCCAACGCACGCUGCUGGAAGCUCCUGCAGAAAACGUGGUCCCUUGGGAUACAUGUCCAACCCAACCCUCAGAAUGACCAAGAAAUCAGGCCUCAGAAUGGGAGGAGUUGAAGAAAGACCCCUGCUGAUGUGAUGGGGUGCAGGCAAUUUGGGGCUGUGGGGUCUGGAUUGUAGAUGAGAAGAAGUGGAGCCAAAGGCAGGGAAACCAACGAGGAGUCAAGUAUCAGCCCCACCGCAUGCUCUCUGCAAAUGCGAUGGGAAGCCUGCAUGCUAUGGAGAAUGAAGGACUUGGGGGACAUGUGGGGAAGGACGGAAUCUCCCCUGGAAAGGAGUCAGCUGGUCAGACUCUAGAAACAGAUGAGCUUGGGUUGUGUGAGCCUGGUCAUAACAGAAACAGCUCACGGGGCUUUGAAAGAGCACACAAGUCUGGGCCUGGGGUGCACACAGCUUGGCUCAUGGUGAAGCUCAGGGAGCCAUAGCAGUCUUUUAAUGUGUGUCACGUUAUUCCGACACUUGCCAAUUUUUACUUCCCUACAUGUGAAGCAGGCAGGGUGGGGUGGCAGUUCCAUUAAACAGAUGGAGAGACUGAGGCCCAGGCAGGUGGAAAGAACUUAUUCAGAACCGCACAGUCAGUUGCAGAGGGUACUUCUGGUGCCAUAUUUCACGAGGAUGGAAAAAGUGGAGGGAGAUUUGGAGGUGAGCAAAGGAAGCAGGGCUCCAGCAAGGAGCUGACAAUCCAGACAUGUGACAAGGCCCAGUCCUAGCUUACAUAAGGCAACACACCUGUUCACCUCUGCACUCUCCGCACAUGUGCUUAAAUGUGUGCCCAGCACCCAGCCCGCCCUUGCUGGCCAAAGAACCAUGGAGACUGGGUCUAAACAAAUUGGAUUAGGAGGGCUGCAAGCACUCCCCACCCACCCCUGCCUGGCUGGCUCCGACACUGAGCAGGCCUGCAGACUGGCCAGCUGUGGUCUCUUGGCCACGCAGACAGUCAGUCCUCAGCCCCCUCCACCCGCCCCCAGGCCCCAGGAAGAGGGCCAGAUCCGAGAGGAUGCCACAAUGAUGGAUACACUGGAGGAGGUUCCAGGACUGACUCCAGAGCACACAGGAUGUUCACGCUUGUGCAAGGCUCAUUUUGGAGCUAUUCCCAGCAAUCCCUGCCCACGCAGCCCCCGUCCUGCCCUCCCCUCCUGCAGCCUCUCCCACGGUCACUGCUGCCAGAGCCCAGAGCUCAGGGCCCAAGCAGAGCCACUGUCAACCCUCAGUCCCACAGCAGGGCUGGGUGGGUACUGGUCAGCUUAGGAGACCACAGCCUGGGGAAGAGACACAGGCAGGCAUGCAGAGGGAAGAAGGAGCCAGUACACAGAAAGGCGAUGCUGUCGUAAAGGUGGCAUCUCAGUGCUUUCUCCCCCAUUGUUUUGUUUAAUCCUUAGGAUGUGCAUGGGAGUUAGGAGAUUGUGCCCAUAGCACGGAUGUGACUACUGAGUUUCAUUUAUUCAGUGAUUCCACACCUCUCCUUUCCUGAGCCCCGAGUCUGUGCCAGGCCCUGUGUGGGGUGCCAGGGACACCGAGAUGAAUGACUUACAGCCUCUGGCCCUGUUGUCUGACUGAGCAAUCUCCUUUGGGCCGGGUCACUGGGCCCUGAGGCCUUGGUCUUCCAGGUGAGCAGGUCCGGCAGGCAGAAUCCCUUCUCCACAUGGCACAUGUGAGUGGUUGAAUAGCAUCAGCAAGGGGAGCCUCAGCAACGGGCCCAUUCGGAGCACAGACCCUGGAGGUAGAGGUCCUGUCUUGCUCCCUUUUCAGCUGAAUAGCUGUGGCCCAGUUAGCCUCUCUGACCUGUUUUCCCUUCUGUGAAAUGGGAAUUCCAAAGGACCCACCUCCUGGGGCUAACUGAGGAUUAAUUCUUUCCAUAUCUUCAUUUGACAUGAGGAGAAAAAGGCUGACAGAGGGAAAGGGCGUGGCCAGGGUCACACCGUGAGCUGGGGUCAAGUCAGGACUGGAGGGACCCUCCUCCCCAGCCCCGUAUCCCAGUAUAAACCCUCCCUACCCGCUCUACCCCAAGCACCUAGAGGCCAGGCCGUACAUGUGACUACGGGGACAUGUCCUGGGGCCCACCUCCCCCGUCAGCCCUGCCCCAGCCUCUGCAGCACCAGAGUCCCAGGUGUGCAGCAGUGGGCCCAGGCCCUCAGCAGCGGUGGAGGGUGGAGGAGCGUAGCGCAGCGCUGGUCUCCAGGCCCGGGCAGCCUGGCCAUAUAAGGGAAGGAGAGACAGGCCUGGCUCAGGUCUGGUGAGAAAACCCAGACAGCCACUGUUUAUUUUCUCCUUCUCAGCCUCCCAGAGCUCGGAGCUUCCGGACAGGAGACAGAGGUUCCCUGCCUCAGCGACAUUUCCUGAAGACAGUGGGGAGCAGGGAGGGGAACACAGCCGGCAGGCUGCCCAGGUAAGAUUCUGAGGCCACCUGUUCAACUGCCUCCUUUGACAGAAGGGGAAGUGGAGCUGCAGAGAGAAGCGCCCAUGAGAAGUGACUGUACCAGCUGGUGGUAGAGCCUAGGUCUCCCCAGUGGCCCCCAUCUACUGGACCCAGAGUAAGAAGGAGCCUCUCAUGGGGUAAGUGUAAAAGGGCAGCUCCUGACCCCCUUCUCAGUGAGGCUGGGGUUGAAGGAGACGGGGGUCAGGGCCAUGCUGUCUGCCAAGUACGCAGGACUCAGGGGAGGAGACCCCCGGCCAGAGAGCUGGGAGAACGCCCUCCUUGCCCCCUGCUCCUCCUCCAAGGAGCCCUGCAGCCUUCCCAGACUCAGGAACCUCUUUGUCCUUGGAGCUCUCCGCAGGCCCUUCUCAGGUCUCUCUCUGUCACCUUGCCAGGGGCAUUUCCUUCCGUCUCAGCCUGACUGCCCUCCUCCAGGGCAAGGACCAUGUCAGGUUCAAUCCCUCCUCCCCUUGGCAAAUAAGGGACACACUUGGGUUGCUGAAGGGACAGGUGAAAUGGAUAGACCCUGUCCCAAACCCAAAGCAUUGGUAAAUUGGUCAGGGGAUGAGACAUCCACGACAGAGGCUAAAAAUGAGGGUGCUGGGCCGGCUGUUCGGAGUCAGGAAUCCUGGCUCAGCAACUAGCUCCAUACCCUUGGAAAAUUCCCUUCCCACUGAGCCUUGGGGAUGCAUGGGGAUCAGCACAAUUAAAAUAUUCAGUAAAUGACCGUUCUUAUCACAGUCAGCAUCACUAUGAAUUUUUCUAGAUACAAAGGAAGAAAAUUAUAGCUACAGAGGACAUAGAGGCAAAUAUCCCCCCUGGUCAAAGGCUGCAUUCAAGCCGUGUCCCUGUGGCAGAGAUCCUCCCAGAGUAGCACGGGUCUGCCCCUGACCCCAUCUAUUUCCUGUUUCCACACCAAGGAGAGAUGCUAUCUUUGCAGCAAUAUACCGAGUCCAGUGGAGUGUGCUGGAAAUAGUCCUCGAUUCCAGUGGUUCAAGCUGGGCCGGGACCCUGCAGCCACACCACCCCUCCCUGGUCCGGCCUCACCAGCUGUUCUGAAGUUAAAUGGACAGGGCGGGAUCCCAACUGCAGUCACUCAGAUGCCCUCUUUUCCAUUUUUGCUGUAUCUGCAAACAAUUAUAGUAUUUUAAAAUUUAAGAUGAGUCAUUAUUAAUACCUAAAUAUAAGUAGCUACUUUAAUGGAAAACUAUAAGGCUGUCCAUAAUGAGGAGAUAAAGGUAAGAAUAAAUACAGCACAAAUGAAAUACUUUACCCUGGUACUUGCAGGGCUCUGGGCCUAAGUCCUGCGGGAGAUAAGCAGAGGCUCGAAAAGUAUCAGAGACAGGAUAGCACCGAACUGAGGCUUCCUCCUCCCUGGUAAAUAGAACACUGAAAGCAAACUGAUGGGGAAUAACUUGAGUCACUCUGUGUUCCCAAGUUAGUGCAGAGGCCAUGUGCAAAUUCACUCCUUCCCUGUGCUUAGAAAACCAAAAGUGGUCAAGUGGAAGUGCUCUGGACCAAGUCUCACGCCAGGGAGUACAGGGGACUGGAGUUAGCAGCUUGGCUCCUGGCGGCAGAGGAGUGCCUUUCUGGGACAACUCUCCCUGGCUGCUUACAGAAACCUCCAGUUGGCCAGGCCAAGGAUUUUCUCCCGCAGGGUUGGUGGGAACCAUCUGAGGAUGGAGUAGACAGGCUGUGGACACCCCCAGGGUGGUGUCCCAUGUUGGAAUCGUUUCCAAGCCACAUGCAGUUUGCAAAGUGUUCCUACAGGAGAAUUCUGUAUUAGAGGGAGGCAGUUCUCUGGCUGGAGUACUCCAGGGAGGGGCUGUCCCACUGAGCAGCCUUUGGACUGACCUGCCCCCAGGGGCAGAGCAAGGGAAAACACUGUUCAGACUGGGGCCUGAUUUUAGAAUUCUGCAAGAGGCACAGGACACACUAUUUUUUUUAAGGAACUAUGUGUUUUUACCACUCUUUCCCACCCCUGGGAAAAGACUGCCCACCCCACUUUGCCCCUCAGAGAUCUCUGAAAGUUCAAGUCAUCAGUGUCAAGGCCACCCCAUUGGGCAUCGAGCAAAGUGAAAAGAUCUCAGGGUGUGAUCCUGAGAUCGCAGCAGGGCAGCAGGAGUGGAGGGGGCUCCUCCUGCUCACUCAGAGGUUCCCACCCAAGCCAGGUCUUGAGAGAAAAAUCCAACAGCUAUACAGCCAUUCAAUCAUCCACCAAAUGGCAUUUUCUGGGGCCCAUCAUCAUACACAAAGGCCUCAGCAAGGGCCAGGGACUUCCCCAAAUUAGCAAAUUUGGGCAGUGUCCUCAGGCGACUGGAGAUCUAGCUAGUCAGACCCACAUAGAAAUAGCUCUGACACUAGUGAGAAUGAGAUUGAGGACUAAAUCCAGUCAUUCAAUCAACACUUACUGGAUGUCUACAGUGCUGGAAACUGCAUUCAAUGGUGAGUACACUUGCCAAGGGGCCCUUCCCUCACAGUCUACAAGUGGAGGUGGUCAUACACAAAAACUACAUCCCAAGUGCAGUAAAGGAUUAGAAAGAGGGCAUGGGAUGCAUGAGGACAUGGACCAGGGGUGUCCUGAUGUCUGAGGAAGUCGGGGAGGGCUUCUCAGAAGAGAUGGCCAUUUGAGCAGGCAGUAAGCACACAAAAGGAGAUGGUCAGAGGGCAUGAGGAGGAGCAGCGUGGUACCUGGGGGCCCUGAGGUGGUGGGCCUGGGGCUUCCUGGCAGGAUGGGAGUGGCCCGAAGGGAAGAGGCCAGCUGGGACUUUGAUGAGGGUGUUACAAUUUAGUCAGAGGACAGUGGGGGCCCACUCAGGACUUUAAGCAUAGGAAGGAUAUGACCAUGUUUGCAUUUUGAAAAAUCACUCUGGGAGGAUGUCUGGGAAUGAUGGGUGGGGAGAGGUGGGGAGUGGAAACAAGAAGACAAGGUAAGAGGCCAAGCAAAUGUUUGAUGUGAUAAUGUAAAAUGUUAAGUACCAUGAAUGUGCUUUUGGCUGGGCAUACCAGGCAUAAGGGUGGGGGUGUGGAGGCAACUUAUUGGAUGACUCUAUUCAUUACAACACCUAGACUCGGCAGCUCUACAGAGACAGGAGGUGGUCUGCCUGUGGUGAGCUGAGAGGGGUUAGAUAGUAAGAUUUCGGUGGUUGCACAGCUUUGUGAAUGUAUUAAAAACCAUUUCCUCGCACAAUUUUAGGUGGGUAAUUAGAUCUCAGUCAAGCUUUUAUAAAGAGAAAAGGGAGGCUGUGACUUGGUGCAGAAGGCUCCAAUGCCAGGCUUAGGACAGCAGCACAGCCAGGAGAGUGCCAGCAGUCUCUCUCUGGUCCAAAAGCUUGAGGGUGGGGUUGAGGCCCCUCCGAUGCCCCUUCUCCUGCCCGGGGUGGACUCCCUGCCAAUGGCCCCUGGCUGGGCCCAGCGCCCUGUCUCCCAGCCUGAGGUGCAGUGCUGCAUCUCUGGUCAGUUGGGAGUCUGAGAUGAAGCACUGUAGCUCAGGAAGGGAGAAGUUGCUCUGCAAUGGCCAGCCUGGAAGCGGUAAGUGGCGGUGGUGUUUGGGGACACCAGGGAGGAUGGGAGUGUUUUUGGUCUCCGUACUGUCAGCUGCUUGUGCUAAGGAAGUUCCUGGACUUAAGUCCUAUCCAGGCCACUGUCUGCCUUGUGAUUCUGGGCAAGUCCUGACUCCUCUAUGCACUCCAGCUCAUCCAUCUGUAAAAUGAAGUGUUGGGGCAUUCAGUGGGGGCUAUCGCCCAGUAUCCUGCCUCUGAUUUCUCUUCCUGAGCCUACAGUGGACACUGCUGAUCAGCCAAGGCAUCUGUUAUUGAAGCAUUCAGAAUCCUUCUCGACACUAAGUCCUGGAGAGCUACUACUAAUGAUUCAGAGCUGAAACCCAUUCAUUGUUUGUGGAUUACACAAUUCCUAAAAAUCCCUAUUUCGCUAAAGAUGAGGUCCUAGACUUUGAAUCAGGCUUUUCACUCUUUGAGCCCCUAACCUGGGCUCCAGGCUAUUGCCUAAACCAAUCCAGGCAUUUCAUAAAUGUCUGACCUCUCUCAAAGGCUACAAACAAGCAGAGAACAACAGAGGAAAAUCACUGGAUUAAACAAUUUUAUUUAACCUCCCGACAAGCUUGGGAAGUGGGCAAUGUUAUGGACCUGCUUUACAGAUGAGAAAACUGAGGCUCAGUAAAACAACUCCUCCAAGGUCUCACACUGACUAUAUUGAGCUAGGGUUGCAGCCUAACCUGUCUGCCUUCAGAUCCACGUUCUUACCCACUGCGUGUGAUUUCACAACCUGGAGGUGAGGGAGGAGGAGGCAAACAAUAAAUCCCACUCUGGUCUUGCCUUUACACCUUGGGUCACUUUUAGCAAAGACAGACCCAGACACUCUCAUCACUCCUACAGACCCCUUUCCUCCCCUCCCCCUGCAGUGGUAUUUACCUCAGCUUAUCGGUAGGUACCAUACUAUCCAAUUUCACAGUUAUUGAAAGCUGAGGUCAAAUGACUUGCUGGACAUCAUCAGUGAGGAAGUUCCCAAACAGAGACUGGGAAGUGGAUCUGCCCGGCUGGUUUAGCAUGAAGCCCUCCCUCUGCCUGGAGACUCAGGAACACACUCGACCCAUGAAAUCAUGGGGGAGGCGGGGCUGGGAUGCCACAUGGCUCCUGGUUGACAGCAUGACGUUGACUAGAAGGUACUUUCCAGGACAUUUGGGGUUCCAGUCACUCCUCAUCCAGGAGCCAUCAGCCGCUGUGAUGCGUGGCAACCACACUGGCUUCUGCAGAUGGAGCUGGAUGCAGAAGAAGGCUCCAGCAGGUCCUCAGGGAUGUGGCCAGGCCUUGGUGCUAACUCUCUCCCCUUGUCCUCACGGUCCAGUUUUCCCAGGAAUCCCUUAGAUGCUAAGAUGGGGAUUCCUGGAAAUACUGUUCUUGAGGUCACGGUCUAACAGCUGGAUUCAAGUCCUUCCCAGCCCACAGCUGUCCCUGUGGGGCCUCAGCUCAAGCACAGGCUAAGGGUUGGGUAGAAGGCCACGCACUAGAGGCAAGAGGGCUUGCACACUGUGUUCUUGACCUUUAAGUUGCUUUUUUUCCCAUUUUGUCCAUUUCAUGACAUCACCAUGAGGCUAAAUGUGGGAGCUUCACCACUGCUGUACUUGAGAAAUUUGUCCCAGCGCUCAGCUGAGUGGCAGUUGGACCAGGACGCCAUAAAGCAUGUUUCUUCUGUGUCCACUCCACCUUUGCCCCACUUCCCAGCAUGCUCUGUGUAGGGGCCACAAUAUCAGAUCCACCACACACAUAAAUUUAUUUUAACCAUUUAUUAAAUCAGUUAGGUAAACUAAAAGUCUUAGUUCAAUUUGGAAUGCAGCUACAGAAAAGUGAAAACAUUUUCAUCGAGGUAAAGAAGACAAAAAAGCUCAGAGCACCCUCUUGUGGUGACGCCCGCCUCUCCCCACUUCAGGAGCACUGGCCUGAGCCCCACCUGUUAGCUCAUUAGCAAUGAUGCCUCCAUCGCUUGACAAGGUACCUUUACUUUCCCAGCCUGGCUUUGUCCUCAAAGCUCCCUGAAGCUCAGUGUUGGUGGGUGAGGCUCAGAGGGAGGCAUGAAGGGACCAAGGUCUCCCAGAUGGCAAAAGGCAGAGCCAGGAUUGAUUCCACGUUCAGUAGCCUAUGGCAAUUACUUAGCCAAAAGCAAAAACUACAAAAAUAAAAAAUAAAAAGAAGACUCACUCUGAAUAAACAUGGGGAAUGCCAAUGAUGGGAAGCCAAAGAGCUGAAGUGGUCCAGGUGCCACACUGGAACUUUCCUCAAAAUCUUCCCUAGUGCUUCUUAUGUUGCUGGUAGAGACAACAGGUGCCAUGGCCCUAGAAUCCUCACUUUGGGUCUGAUCCCCACAUCCCCAGGCUGUCUUCUGAACAGGCCACCAUAAAGACAUUUAUGAAGUAAGAGAUCUCCCUCCAUCUCACAGAGAGACUGGAGCUGAUCUGACUUGCUCAUAAUAAUAAUAAUAAUAAUAAUAAUAAUAGUUUCCACUCAUUGACUAUUUACAAUUUGUCAGGCUCUGUGCUAAACACUUUCACAGGCAUUAUCUCAUUCGACCCUCACAAGUCAGGCAGGCUCCAUUAUGUAUUACACUUCACAGUUAAGGAAACCAAGGCUCAGAGAGGUGAAGAGAUAUAGACUAAGGUCACACAGCUAAUAAGUUGUGAAGCUGGGGUCAAAUCAAGUCUGUGUUUAUGCUUUUAACCUGCCCUUCCCCCUCCCUCCCAUUGUCCUGGCCUGGUGGUCAGGUUGUCUCCAUGUGACCUCCCUUGGGGGAGAGGGUAAAACCAGCCUUCAGUGAGACCCAGCUGGACCCUCCUGUGCUCUGUGACUGUAAUAAAGUGCUGGACCCUUGA